AAAAAGACACAGCAGAAAGGAUUCUCACAUAUUGUUAUAUCCUCUUGAUAAACAGCUUUUUAAAAUUCUUACCCUUGAUAGAAAAUAUUUCUUCACAUAUCUUUUAAACAACUAAUGAUGAAGAUUAUCCUUGUUUUAUCUUCUUUGAUCUAAAAAAUUUGGAGAAAAUCUGAUGACAGUCUACUUUUCUAGGAGACCCCCUGCCUUGCCAUAGAAUCUCAUUUGAUUUAAUUCAAAGAUUUGAUGUUCAAAGGUAUUCAUUCAAAGGCUGUUCAUAUUCCCCAUAGUUGUUUGAAUUCCUUUUCCUCAUCAAAAAAAGCAUUAUUUAGUGUUCGUAUUGUUCCACUGUACAGCAUAAUAGAGUGACAUCUUUAGCUCUUAUGAAAAGAGACUAUGCCCUUAUGUGUUUAUUUAUUCUUUACAAAUGUAUGCAUGUAUUUCACUUAACAAAUAUUUAGUUAGAUUCUGUUAUGUGCCAGGCACUAUACUAGAUAUCUUUAUUUAAAAAAAAAAAAAAAAAAAAGGGCAGUUAAUAUAACAGACAAAGUCUCUCCUUUCGUGGAGCCUAGAUUCUAAAGAAGGUUUGGAGCAAUGUACAAAAACACAUAAUAAUUUCAAUUAUGAAUUUAGAUCAUUGUUAUGCCAGAAAUAAAUGGAAAGUCUGAGAUAGAGUCAUGCAGGUGAGCAGUGGGGAGGAUAAAUAUUAGACAUGCCAACUAAAAAAUAGCCUCAGGAACAAACCAUUCAAAUUGCAGAGAGAGGAGCACAUUGCAGGCAGACGGAACAGCAGAGGCUUUGGUGAGGGAAAGAACACAAACAGGUCACUGAGUCUGUAGCUGGACACUGACCAGCAAUGGGGAGAAUUGCAUGAGAAGAGCUAGGCUGGAUCCUGCAGAGUUUUCUGAUUUGGAAAUGCUCACGUGUAACAGGGGAUUCUUGUAAAGUAUUGCACUGAGGAGCUAGUGUGAUCUAUGUUUCAAAAGAUGACACUGUUUGUGGUAUGGAGAACCAAUGGGAAGGUCACAUAAAUAAAACAAGAAGACAACCUAGCAGAAUAUUGACAUAUAUUAGCAGCUCAGACUCGAAUGUUGGCAAUGCAGCUGUGGAGAAGUGACUAUGAGAGAGGAUCAGGAGGUACAAAUGACAGAAAUCCAUGAUGGAUUAGAUUGGGAUGUGAGGAACCAUGUAUGACCCUUAAGUUUCUGCUCAAGUAUUAGAUGAUAGUUCUACUAACUGAGAAGAAGAAACAGAAGAAGUACCAGGAGUUCUGUCCAGAUCCAGUAAAUUACAUGACAUUUAUAGGACACCCCACUGGAGAUGUUAAAUAGGCAUUUGAUUAUACUGAUGUGAAGCUGUUACACAGAAGAGCCAAAGAUAGCCUCUGCGUACUGGCCCCUAGGUUGUUUCUAUCUUUACUGCAGGCUGAGCCCACCAGGGAAGAAAAAUCAAAUGUUUGCACAUACGUUCAGUUUCUCAAACUGGCUAUGCAAGCAGAUUGUUAGUUAUUUAAAAUCUUCCUGUUUUUCAUACCCCGCCAACCUUCACCCCACAUCUGCUAGCAAUAGAUAAACCCUGUGGUUCGUAAAGACUCAAGCUGCCACUGCUGUUUAGAGUUCUUUUACCCAGAUGCCUUACCCGUCCCCCAUCAUGCUACUGACCAACAUUGCCUGGGCACAUGGCUCCCCUCUCUCCCACGAGUUCUCUCUCCCUCCUCGUCAUCCUAGUACUGACCCUGACCCUUCACCUCUGGUCUUCCUCCCAAAUGGAGCCUUUCAAAGUAGCCCAAUAAAGCUUGUGUGUGGUCCUGGCACCUUGUGGUCAUAUCUUUUUAUUUGAUCAACACAAAAUCCCUCAAAUCCCAAAAGAAACUCAAAGAAAAGUUUUGUGUAUCAGGAAGUAAUAAGCAUAGAGAUGGCAUUAAAGCCAUGAGAAGCAACAAUACUACUUCAGGAGAAGUGUCUAGAAAUACAGCAGGAGGGCCCAGGACUAAAUCUGAAGAGCUAUAAAAUUUGAUAUCUGGUAAAGAGGAAAAACAUGCAAAUUUAACCACUUGGUCAAUUCCUACUUCCUUUUCUUUCAUUGAGGCAACAUUAUUGGUUCCUUUAAGAUAGAACCCUGUCUCCUUCACCCCAACUCUUCUCUGCACCUGGGGUUUUUCUAUAUAAUUGCUUUACCACAUAGUUUUGAGAGUAUCUGAUUAUUAGUCUAUCUCCACAUAAUGCUUUCCUUGAAGGCAAAACAUGUGUUCAUGUCUAAAUUCCAGGGAUCGAGGGAAGCACCUGACAUACAGUGCUAAACAUUUCGGGAAUGACGGAAUAAACGUGUGACUGAAGGAGCAAUCUGGUCAUGUUAGAACGGGUACAGAAAAGAGCCAUGACGCUAGAUGCUCCAGUUAGAGAAUGCAAACAAACUGGGGCUAAUUUAACCAACACUCACCAUACAGCAGCUGAGAGACCUGCAUAAAGCAAAGAUCAAUUGUUUGCAGCACAGUAUAAAACAACAACUCAACAAAAUCAACAUAGGAAAGAUAGAAGGUGACUCUAUUAAAGGUACUUUUCUCCAAAGAUUAUCCUGUUCACCAUGGAAGAUACUGAAAUCUACAAUGGCUGGAGGUGGAAUCCCUCACCAAAAAGCAGACAUUUACCUAUAUUUCUUUACUACCUACAACAAAUGUUCAUUGGCUCACUCUGGAAGUGAACUUUGAUCCAACUAUGAUUGGUCUUCAGUUACCAGACCCUAUCAUACAUCUGUAAAGUUUGA